GGGGGUGCCCGGUUUUGACAGCAGGCAGGGUUUGAUUGUAAGCACGUCGAGCGCUGUGCGGCGGCUCGUAAAUCCCGCCGCUCGAAAAUCAAAUGGCAAUAACAGCUACGCACUCGCUGCCUAAUUUUCAAGGAAAAUUAGCUUAAUCCCCGGAGCCAAGGCGCCUCGGAGACGAGUAUCCCGAAGGGACGUUCCGCUCUUUAACGGCUCUUCAUACGGGGUAUCAUUCAUUUAGAGAUAGCGUGCCGGAGGGUCCCGGCCGGUGCGCGAAAUUCAAGGGACUGGGAUCCGGGUUAGGUUGCCGCCUGCCAGACCCGGAUAGAAGGAUCAAACGGCGGAUAAGCGUGUAGAAAGCUUUUGGGCUCCCUGUUUGGACGCGGGUUCGACUCCCGCCACCUCCAC
rnacentral:tmRNA from 1 species